UGAAAUUUUUUGCAGGCACAACUGUAGGUUUCAUUGUUUAUGUCAUAAUGAACCAAGAAUUUCUUGUUGUCAUCAUCCAAAAUUAGCUGCACAAAAUAUGAUCCAGGUUCCGGCCCAUUUAUUGUUUUGUAUUUGGUAGCUCUGUAUAGCAUUUCUUGAAACUCCUCAAACAUUGCACGUGUAUAGAACUUUGAGUCUUGUUCUUCCAUUGGAUAGCCAGACCACAUUUUUGGGUCUGUUUGGACUGUUAUAAACCGCUGAUUGUCAUCCCUGUCAAGACAAGAUUGGGCAAGUUUCUCAUAUUGGAAGAUGAAAUUCCUGAUUGAAUCAGCUGGGUGGACAAAAUCUUUGAAUAAUUUGUUCAUGCUCUCACUCCUUUGGGAGGUGCUCAUGAAUGGGAAGAAGUAAUCCAUGAAAAAACAGGGGACCCACUUUUUCCUGUUAUCAUAGAGGUGUUGCAUAUACUUGUUCCCACACAACUCAUGUCUAUCAAUCAUUGCAUCCCAACUUGCAUCAAAUUCUUCUUCGUUCAAAGAAUUAUCAAUGCAUGACUUCAAGUCUGUUUCAAACCCUUCCUUGCCGUUUAACAGCACACCAAGGAAUACACACCCAAAUAGGACAGUCUGGCCAUGGUUGCUUACCCCGAUUAUCGGAGCAAAUGGGAGGUUAUACUUAUUUGUGCAGUAUGUUGUGUCGAAGACGAUACAAUCACCAAAUUUCUUGUAUGCUUCUUUUGAGGCACCAUCCACCCAAAAUAAGCUACCAACCGUAUUAUCCGAGUCCAGUUCCAUGCUAUAGAAAAACGAUGGAUCUUCUGCUUGCAAUUCCUGGAAGUACUUGAUGGUUUCAGCCAUGUCUCCGUUUGCAGUAGUCCGUUUUCUCAUCGAUGUCCUCAGAUUGCUAACAUCUUUCUUUGUGAAUGGUAUGUUACGCAUGGUACCAUACAAAUCAGACAGGACAGACAUGAUUCUUCUA